UUUUACCCUUUUAUUUUUCAAUAUACCCAAAUUACCCAUUUGAAAAGUGCCAUGGACGGAGUACGAAGAAAAGAGGAAGAGAAAGUGAGAGAAAAUGGCAAAGCAGCUACUGGAGAGUGCUUCAAGAGGAGGGACGAGUGGAGGAAGCACCCUACGCUCACCAAUCAGCUCCGCCACGCCCUUCCUGGUUUUGGCCUCAGAGUCGCCGCCUUAGGCGUCUACCUAGAUGGUGAGCAGAAUUCGAAGCGGUUAUUAAAAUUUUCCUUUUUCCACAUUUUCUCAUCAACCAAACGUACCAUCUAAAGAUUGAAUUCAUCAAAACCAUCAUCGAUUUUUGGUGCAAACUUUGAAUUCGAAUCUUCGAGACCGAAAAUGAUGCUGAAUCUUGGUAAAUCUCUCACUGAGCAAUGAGUUAUAGAAGGUAAUCUUUAUAUUUGGUAAGAUUUGCAUUUCAAGCAGUUUUUUUAGUUUAUAUAUUUUUUGUGAUCAAAGUUCAAUAGUCAAUCAGUCAUCGCCUUUCAUGUUUAAUGUUGUAUAUAUAUAUAUAUAUAUAUAUAUAGAAAUAUAUAUUCUGAAUUUGCUGAAA